AUGAGGCUGCGGGAUCCACUGCUCAAAACAUACCAAUCGCGGAGGAGUGUCGGGCAGCUCCCUCCCCUCCCGAGCUGGGUCGUCUGCUCCGCACGUAGGGAUGGAGAGGGUAGGACCGGGGGCGGGGGCUGGUCCCGCCCACCAGGGGGCGGGGCAGGACAGGGGCGGGGCUCCAGUACCCGGCGCGCUCGGGUGUCAGUGUCGGCGUCGGCGGGCCCCGGAGCCGCAGGUGGCUGCGCUGGCUGGUGGAGGACGCUGCGAGGGCCGCAGGGAGGGAUGAGGAAAGAACAACAGACUGGAAUUCUCCCCCCUCCUCCAGGGGCUGAAGCCGGGCUGUGCUUCCUCCAGAGUGAGUGACCGGCCCCAGGAGGGGCAGCAGGGGACCGGCCGUCCACCACGAUGUCCUAUUUUGGGGAGUACUUUUGGGUAAGUAAAGCCUCGUUUGGCUAGAGGACGGGGGUUGCCGAGGCUGAGCUUGGUUCUCAUUGGUGGGGGUACACAGGGUUAUGGGUGCCAUGGCAGGGGGGCCCAAGGCUGGGGUGCUGGCUCUCCCCAGAGGGAGCCCUCUGUAGCAGCUCCAGAAAGCUGGAUGAAGAGCAGAGGAGCAGACUGAGAUGCUGCCCUUGGACAGCCCCUGUCUGGGGAAGGGGGAGGUCGUCCUGGAAAGAGGUUUUAGAACUGGGUUCAAAUCCCAUCUCCAGUAUUUCCUCUCCACGAGCCUUUGAGCGUCUGAACUUCUGUAGAAUGAAGGGCUCCUCCUAAGUGAUCUAUAAGGCCCUUCCUCAGACCCCAGGGAAAGAGGACGAUGAAGACACAGGGGCCCUGCCUUAGAGAGCUCCCAGUCCCAAGAGAAGACACAUAGGGUGGGGUAGAGGACCAAAUCCAAACUAGUGGAUUUAAUCAAGGAAGACUUCCUGGAGGAGGGCUCUUGUGGGAGGGACCCCGACGACCACAGAUCUCUUAGCAUCUUUGGCAGGAGAUUCUCUGAGCAGGCUUUAGGACCCUGGCUAAGGUCCCCAGGGCUAGAGAUGAGGUCUCUGUCCCUCUGGACACCCCCCACCCCCAUCGUGGCCAUUCUUCCUGCCAUGUCAGGAACUGCUCUGAACCGAGGGAAUUUCCUGACCAUCCCUGACCCAGAAAUGAUUGGGGCUUUUUUCCCUUGUAUUCCCAGCUCCUCCCAUCCCCCUCACCAUGUACCUUAGAAGCCCCAGGACCCCUUGGAGUCUUCAGAGCAUGAUUUCCAACAGGGAAGGGAGGGGGCUAUCCUGUGGGGAAGAUGGGGAGACAGAAAAAUCUAGAUGGGGUGGGGGUGGCUUUCAGCCCCCCUCUCAGCCCCCUUUUUACAAGCCCACUUGCUCUGCCAAAGGGAGACCCAGGUUGCUGAGUAACCGGUUGCCCCUGGCAACAGAGCCAGGAAAAGGCAGCUCAGCUUCUCAACCUCCACUUAGAGCCUGAGGCCAGGGUCCCCUUCCUUAAAGGGGCCAUACUCACUCUCCUUGGUGCCCCGCCUGCCCCAGAGUUAGAGAGCAGCCUCCCCAGGCAUGGAGGAGAAGUCAUCCCCCGGCCCCAUCUCCAUCCUUCUUUUGUUGGAAGCGAGAUGAGCUUUGAGAUCCUGCCAUCAAUCCUCUUCCUUUUGCCAUUGGGCACAGAGAUGUCGAGGCCCAGAGAGAGGAAGGAACAUGGCAGGGGUCAUUUAGACAUUCAGCUAUCCUGGCUCCCUGACUAGGGCUCCUUACAAACCACUAUGUGGGAGAGAAAGAGAGGCUCAGAGCUGGAAAGGCCUGGAGAACCCAGGAUGUCAGAGCUGGGAGGGAGCUUAGAACAGAGAAUGUCAGAGCUGGGAGAGACCUUAGAACAGAGAAUGUCAGAGCUGGGAGGGAGCUUAGAACAGAGAAUGUCAGAGCUGGGAGGGAGCUUAGAACAGAGAAUGUCAGAGCGGGGAGGGAGCUUAGAACAGAGAAUGUCAGAGCUGGGAGGGAGCUUAGAACAGAGAAUGUCAGAGCUGGGAGGGAGCUUAGAACAGAGAAUGUCAGAGCUGGGAGAGUCCAUAGAACAGAGAAUGUCAGAGCUGGGAGAGAGCUUAGAACAGAGAAUGUGAGAGCGGGGAGGGAGCUUAGAAUAGAGAAUGGCAAAAGCUGGGAGGGAGCUUAGAACAGAGAAUGUCAGAGCCUGGGAGGGAAGCUUAGAACAGAGAAUGUCAGAGCUGGGAGGAAGCGUAGAAUAGAGAAUGGCAAAGCUGGGAGGGAGCUUAGAACAGAGGAUGUCAGAGCUGGGAGGGAGCUUAGAGCAGAGAAUGUCAGAGCUGGGAGAACCUUAAGGACAAAGGAAUCAGAGCAGAGAAAAGGCCCUUCCAAUGCAAGAUGUCAGAGCUGGGGGAGCCCUUGGGAACCACUUGUUCCAUUACCUUAGUUUUAAAGGGGAGAAAAGUCCAGAGAGGAAAGGGCAUAGCCAAAGUCUCAUAGCCAGUUGCAGCUGAGGCAGCCUUUGGUCUCCAGACUUCUAUCCUGUAGCCAAGGAAUCCUUCCACUACCCUCUCUCCUCCUCUGUCCUGAUCUCCUCGCUUCCCUUCCCCUUCUCUCUCCUUGCCCUCCCCUCUUUACGACUCACAAGAAAGAUGGGUGCUCACAUAUGGAAAGAUGACUAAUAGUAUGAGACAUGAUGUGCUAAGUACCCCUUGGACUGAAUAAACAAUGAAUUCUGUGGGGGCUCA
rnacentral:lncRNA from 1 species